UCCCCUGUGGUGUAGGCGGUUAGCAUACGAGGUUUUCACCCUCGCGACCCGGGUUCGAGUCCCGGCGGGGGAG
rnacentral:tRNA from 1 species